rnacentral:rRNA from 1 species
GGAGCUGAAGCCAGUCGCAGAUACCAGCUGGCUGCAACUGUUUAUUAAAAACACAGCACUGUGCAAACACGAAAGUGGACGUAUACGGUGUGACGCCUGCCCGGUGCUGGAAGGUUAAUUGAUGGGGUUAUCCGUAAGGAGAAGCUCUUGAUCGAAGCCCCAGUAAACGGCGGCCGUAACUAUAACGGUCCUAAGGUAGCGAAAUUCCUUGUCGGGUAAGUUCCGACCUGCACGAAUGGCGUAAUGAUGGCCAGGCUGUCUCCACCCGAGACUCAGUGAAAUUGAACUCGCUGUGAAGAUGCAGUGUACCCGCGGCAAGACGGAAAGACCCCGUGAACCUUUACUAUAGCUUGACACUGAACAUUGAGCCUUGAUGUGUAGGAUAGGUGGGAGGCUUUGAAGUGUGGACGCCAGUCUGCAUGGAGCCAACCUUGAAAUACCACCCUUUAAUGUUUGAUGUUCUAACGUUGCCCCGUUAUCCGGGGUGCGGACAGUGUCUGGUGGGUAGUUUGACUGGGGCGGUCUCCUCCCAAAGAGUAACGGAGGAGCACGAAGGUUGGCUAAGCAUGGUCGGACAUCAUGCGGUUAGUGCAAAGGCAUAAGCCAGCUUGACUGCGAGAGUGACGGCUCGAGCAGGUACGAAAGUAGGUCUUAGUGAUCCGGUGGUUCUGAAUGGAAGGGCCAUCGCUCAACGGAUAAAAGGUACUCCGGGGAUAACAGGCUGAUACCGCCCAAGAGUUCAUAUCGACGGCGGUGUUUGGCACCUCGAUGUCGGCUCAUCACAUCCUGGGGCUGAAGUAGGUCCCAAGGGUACGGCUGUUCGCCGUUUAAAGUGGUACGCGAGCUGGGUUUAGAACGUCGUGAGACAGUUCGGUCCCUAUCUGCCGUGGGCGUUGGAAGAUUGAAAGGGGCUGCUCCUAGUACGAGAGGACCGGAGUGGACGCACCACUGGUGUUCGGGUUGUCAUGCCAAUGGCAUUGCCCGGUAGCUAAGUGCGGAAGAGAUAACCGCUGAAAGCAUCUAAGCGGGAAACUUGCC